CAGAGGUCGAAAAUAAUUUUAUAUUUUAGAAAAUAAUUUUUUUUUCUUAACGAAAUAAGGGCCGCUCUGCCAAUUUGCCCAAACAAUUUUAUAGUUCAUGCCCAAUUCGUGCAUAUUGCAUGCAUGCACAUGAUGGAAUGCCAAGUGGAGACGCAUCGUAGCGUUUGAACGUGGACCGAGAAAAGCUUUUUUAUUACGGGUCGCUCCAAAACCGUCCAUUCUCUCCCGCUUCUCGAUCUCGUCCGUCGCGCCCUCCUCUCGAUCAAGUUAGCAAGGGAUGAGAAGUCUUUGCGUCGGACGCCGUCGCUUCCUGCCGCGAACGCCCGCUUCCCUCCUCGGCGGGAGAUCCAGACCCAGCCGCGCAGGUGCAACGAUGGUGACGCUGGUGGUGGCCACCACUGCCGACCCGGCCUCCGUCGGUCCCGCCUCUGCCUUCCUCGCCAUGCCUGGAUGGAACCCCGGCCCUGCCGUCGCCACCGGGAUGGAGAGCUUCGCGAACCGGGUAUUUGGUCUUUUAUGCCCUUGAUAUGAGUACUUUAUGCAGCAGGUCCAGUCUCGGUUAUGUUUAUCUUAGUUCCGAUGAUUUUUGAUUGUUUUGGUAAAGGGCAAGUGAUGAAGGUGACAUUCGAACCCGGUACCUUGCGUUGCGAUGAACAACUUUUGUUGGAAUUUGAAUAUGUAUAGCGGUCUAAAUUUUAUAUUUUCUGUUACUUCUUGCAGGCUUUUGCAACUUUUUGGCAAUAUAUAGGUUUGUUUAAGGAUCUUACUGAUGCGAAUUGAAUUGGUACUUACCUGGUUCAGUUUAGGAAUCAGCCUGGUUAAAUUUAGGAGACUCUCUCAAAAUAUAAAGCAGUCAUCUUCUGUUUAUGAGGCUUUAUGAUAGAUAGAUAGAUAGUCUAAAAUCGUUCUUUUAUUCAUUCUCUUCCACGCUGCAAAAGUCCUUUCCCUUUCUACUGAAGUUGUUAAAAGUUUUCUGGUGAAAUUCUUCAAAUCAUAUCAUAUUUUUAUCAAACUAUCUGCCUUUACUUGCAAGAUGUAUUUGUUCCAGUCGCCAAUUGUGUGUUUUGUGGUGAUCAUCCAUGCUAAUUUUGUUUGGAAAUGACAAUGAGGCUAGGCUGCCUUGCUUUCUCAUGUUAAUGUUGCCCGCCUCUGAAUCCUAAGCAACUGCAUUUAACAUGUGCAGAUAAUUUGGCUAAUAUUAAUAAUUUCUUGAGAGCUGCAGGAGUUUUAAAAGCUGGCAGAGAAAUGCAGUCACAAACUUCUUGACAGAGGAGAGCAUAAAGAUGGGAAAACCAGAGGACUUCUUCUAGUUUCUUGGUAUUUUUAUGCCUAGUUUCACAGUAAAAGAAGGAAUAGAUUUAUAGCUCUUUUCCAAUCGUUGUUCACAUCAUCCAAGAUUAUGAUUCUGCUGCUUGAAUGAUUUUUGUGAUUCAUGAAUAACUAAAGCUCCCUCGGUCUGCUGACAA